UACGUAGGGGGCAAGCGUUAUCCGGAUUUACUGGGUGUAAAGGGAGCGUAGACGGCGAUGCAAGCCAGAUGUGAAAGCCCGGGGCUCAACCCCGGGACUGCAUUUGGAACUGUAUAGCUAGAGUGUCGGAGAGGCAGGCGGAAUUCCUAGUGUAGCGGUGAAAUGCGUAGAUAUUAGGAGGAACACCAGUGGCGAAGGCGGCCUGCUGGACGAUGACUGACGUUGAGGCUCGAAAGCGUGGGGAGCAGACAGG
rnacentral:rRNA from 1 species